UACGUAGGGUGCGAGCGUUGUCCGGAAUUAUUGGGCGUAAAGAGCUUGUAGGCGGUUUGUCGCGUCUGCUGUGAAAAUCCGGGGCUCAACCCCGGACUUGCAGUGGGUACGGGCAGACUAGAGUGUGGUAGGGGAGACUGGAAUUCCUGGUGUAGCGGUGAAAUGCGCAGAUAUCAGGAGGAACACCGAUGGCGAAGGCAGGUCUCUGGGCCACUACUGACGCUGAGAAGCGAAAGCAUGGGGAGCGAGCAGGAUUAGAUA
rnacentral:rRNA from 1 species